rnacentral:rRNA from 1 species
AGUGAACGCUGGCGGUAGGCCUAACACAUGCAAGUCGAAUGGCAGCACAGUAAGAGCUUGCUCUUACGGGUGGCGAGUGGCGGACGGGUGAGGAAUACAUCGGAAUCUACUUUUUCGUGGGGGAUAACGUAGGGAAACUUACGCUAAUACCGCAUACGACCUACGGGUGAAAGCAGGGGAUCUUCGGACCUUGCGCGAUUGAAUGAGCCGAUGUCGGAUUAGCUAGUUGGCGGGGUAAAGGCCCACCAAGGCGACGAUCCGUAGCUGGUCUGAGAGGAUGAUCAGCCACACUGGAACUGAGACACGGUCCAGACUCCUACGGGAGGCAGCAGUGGGGAAUAUUGGACAAUGGGCGCAAGCCUGAUCCAGCCAUACCGCGUGGGUGAAGAAGGCCUUCGGGUUGUAAAGCCCUUUUGUUGGGAAAGAAAAGCAGCAGGCUAAUACCCCGCUGUUCUGACGGUACCCAAAGAAUAAGCACCGGCUAACUUCGUG